GCUAAGGUCCCAAAUACUCUAAAGGCACAGGAACCCCCUUGUUCUUAGAAGUUAAGUAGGGUAAACCCUAGUUAGCAUUUAGAUGGGAGACUGCCAAUGAAUACCAGGUGCUGUACACU
rnacentral:rRNA from 11 species